UCUUGAGUUUAUGGACUUCAGGGGGAGUAUGGUCACAAGGCUGAAACUUAAAGGAAUUGACGGAAGGGCACACCAGGAGUGGAGCCUGCGGAUUAAUUUGACUCAACACGGGAAAACUUACCAAGACCGAACAGUAGAAGGAAUGACAGAUUAAGAGUUCUUUCAUGAUUUAUUGGGUAGUGGUGCAUGGCCGUUCUUAGUUGGUGGAGUGAUUUGUCAGGUUAAUUCCGGUAACGAACGAGACUGAAACCUAUUAAUUAGUUUUCUGCCUAUAAGACAGAAAUGUUCGCAAGAACAGGUGCGUAAGUACCACUUCUUAAAGGGACACAUUUCAAUUGUCCUAUUUUAAUUGUAGUUAUCUAAUUCGGUUAGGACCUCUUA
rnacentral:rRNA from 1 species